UGGAAGGUGGUGCCAGGCUCUGUGGUUUGGACUGGUCCUACGAGCGAAACAAUAGAAGAGGCUAACCAUCUGCAGAAGAGAAAAGAGGAAGGGAAACUCAGCCUGAGACACAAAGAGGAAGUGUAGGAGACAGAGGUGCUACAGUGGACGAGGUCCUAGUCCCACCCCUGUUACUACAGCCUUGCAGACUACUGCCUGCCCACCAGCAGGAUGCCACGUUUGUAAGGUACCCACCAAGCUCCCAAGUGGGUUGGCACAUAGUGCAGGCUGGAGAGUGAGCAGGAUGCGUGAACCACGUCUUAUCUCUGUGGGAUCCUCUUCUUACACAUUGUCUUCAUCAGCAGGCUUCUGGUGAAAGACAGGGAUGGCAAGUGACUGAAACCCAAGGUGAUGAUCCAUUGGCUUCCCCCAAAUCAAGGAGGGGCAACUCACCAAGCCAUGACAGGCAUGACACUGCUGCUGGGCCUCACAAAUGGUCUGGAACCAAGGGAUGGGUCCGUGAUAUUCUUCCUGGCAGAAAAGGCGGACAUCAACUUGCACAAGCUCUUGGACCUGUUCUUCCCUGCCCACUCCAGGUGCGCUUGGAGCUGUGCGCACAGUAGGUGCCUGGUAAAUAUUUGUCGGGAUAACUUGGCUUCCAGCCGCACAACUCCAGCUCUGAGGGCAUAUUCAUCAUCGGGGGAUCUUGUUAGAAUCAAGGGUCCAGUUCAGUAG
rnacentral:lncRNA from 1 species